CAGCAAGAUGCUGUGGCAGACUCAGCUCCUCUGGCUCCUCCUGCUCUGGGUGCAGGGCUCCAGCGGGGACAUUGUUGUGACUCAGACUCCAGAGUCCCUGGCCGUGUCCCCAGGAGACACAGUCACCAUCAAGUGCAAAACCAGCUCCAGUGUUAGCAGCUGGAUGGCCUUGUACCAGCAGAAACCAGGGCAGGCCCCUAAGCUCCUUCUCUACAGAGCAAGCAACCGCCCCUCAGGGAUCCCCGACCGGUUCAGUGGCAGUGGGUCUGGGACUGACUUCACUUUCACCAUCAGCCGGGUUGAAGCUGGUGAUGCUGGAGAUUAUUACUGCCAGCAGCAUGAUGAUACCCCUCUCACAGUGCUACAGCCCA